GUCUCUCCCUCUCUCUCUCUGUAUCUCUCCCUCUCUGUCUUUCUCUCUCUAUCAUUCUACUCAUCCCUCUCUUCUGUCUGUCUCUCUCCCUCUCUCUCUUUCUCUCUCUCCAUCAGUCUGCUCAUCCCCCUCUCUAAUCUGUUUUUCUGUAAUCCUCAUCAACGCCCCUCCCCCUGCCCUCUGCUCUUCCUCAUUUUCCCACUCUCCACCUUUCUACAUCGAAUAAUUAUGCUUUUCUCUUCCUCCUCUUCCUCCUCCUCUUAGGGUUCUUAGUAACUUAUCAAACAAUUUUUAUUUUUUGUGUGUUGAUGAAUUUGGUCUUUAAUUUAAUUUAUACUUUUGAAAUGGAUGUCUCCUUUAUCUGAAAUGAAAGCCUUCUACGGCACACACACACACACACACACACACACACACACACACACACACACACACACACACACACACACACACACACACACACACACACACACACACACACACACACACACACACACACACACACACACACACACACACACACACACACACACACACACACACACACACAAGUCCAGGAUAUUUUUGUUGUUUUCAGUCCAUUUAAUCAGAGAAUGUUUCUUCAACAAUAUAUAUGACAUAUAUCAGAGUGGGUGACUGAGUGUAAAUAGAUAUUUUCUUGUGGAUGCUUUAGACACAUAGAGGAUUUGAGAUUUAAAAUAAAAGAUGGCAUGAUGAUAUGAUACCUAUGAAUUUUCCAACGCUGUAAGAUUAAUAAAGAGUUAAGUAGUGUCAGGUAAACAGAGUGAAGGGUAAAGGUUAGAGGUUAAGACAGAGUAAUGGUUAGAGUAGAGAUAGAGGCGGCUGGCUAACAGACAGACUUUUAGUAAUGUCAGUUAGUGUGUUUUAUCUUCUGUUCAGUUUGUUGUGGUAGAGCUGCUCUGUUAGCCGCUAGGUCCUGGUGUCCUGGUUGGCCAGCUAGCUGUUAGCCGCUAGAUCCUGGUUAGCCAGCUAGCUGUUAGCCAUACUGCUAGGUCCUGGUUAGCUAGCUGUUAGCCACUAGAUCAUAUAGGUCCUGGGUACCUAGCUGUAAGACAUAUCGCUAGGUCACUAGUUGCUAGGUCAGUUUGAAUACCUGUGGUGCGUUUGAAUACUUUAAGGGAAGUGGACGAUAUAUUGAGAUGAUAUUGGGGCAAUAUCGGGGUAAUACUGGGGUGAUAUUGGGGCAACACUGGGGUGAUAUUGAGGUAAUAUUGGGGCAAUACUGGGGCGAUAUUGGGGCAAUACUGGGGCAAUACUGGGGCGAUAUUGGGGUAAUAUUGGGGCAAUACUGGGGCGAUAUUUGGGUAAUAUUGGGGUGAUAUUGGUGUAAUAUUGUGGUGAUACUGGGGCAAUAUUGGGUUGAUACUGGGGCAAUACUGGGGCGAUAUUGGGUUGAUACUGGGGUGAAGCAGGGGUAAUAUUGGGGUAAUGCUGGGUCUAUAUUGGGGUGAUAUUGGGGUAAUACUGGGUCUAUAUUGAGGUGAUACGGGGUAAUACUGGGUUGAUAUUGGGGUAAUACUGGGUCGAUAUUGUGGUAAUACUGGGUUGAUAUUGGGGUGAUACUGGGUCGAUAUUGAGGUGAUACGGGGUGAUAUUGGGGUAAUACUGGGUCUAUAUUGAGGUGAUACGGGGUGAUAUUGGGGUAAUACUGGGUUGAUAUUGGGGUGAUACUGGGUCGAUAUAUCAAGGGGAUUUCUGCUUUUAAUGUCUUUCUUUUUUAUUCUGUUUCUCCACUCGUUUAUUUGUGCUGUGUUUGUUUGUGUGUCAUCAGCCUAGUGGCGGUUUAGAACACAACAUUGUGUACAGUUACCACGGCAACCACAGCAUCAGGCCGGAGUCUCGCCCUAACUUCACCACACACCCGCCACUCACACUGUUGUGCCACAUGUGAGCCUUUCGUCUUGCUGUUGGUCAUGCCCCUUUAAUCUCUAAACCAAUCCUUUCCCUUUAAACAGUGAUGCCACUUCCUGGUCUGGGCUGUCUGACCAAUCAGAGCCCAGCCUGUCUCCAUCCCUCCAUCUUAGUAAGAAUUUGUUUUCUUUUCAUUUGUUCUCAAUUCCUUUUCUGUGCAACGUUCAGCAGAUACAAACUAGAUGUGGUUAAUAAUGACAUCAUCUGUAUUACUGCCUCAGAUAUUCCAUGUGGAACCUUCUGAAGAAUAUUGCUGUAAAAACAAGAAAUAAAAAGAUUUUGUGUUUAAAA